rnacentral:rRNA from 1 species
UACUUCUUCGGAAGUAUCAUCAGUGGUAAACGGGUGAGUAAAAGGUAGGGACCUACCCCGAGGACAGAGAUAGCUACUGGAAACGGUAGGUAAACUCUGAUAAGCCCGAGAGGGGAAAGUGGAAGGCAGCCUUGGGAUGGACCUACUAUCCAUCAGGUAGUUGGUGAGGUAAAGGCUUACCAAGCCGAUGACGGAUAACCGGUGUGAGAGCAUGUACGGUCACAAGGGCACUGAGACACGGGCCCUACUCCUACGGGAGGCAGCAGUGGGGAAUAUUGGACAAUGGGCGAAAGCCUGAUCCAGCGACGCCGCGUGAAGGAAGAAGUCCUUCGGGAUGUAAACUUCUGAACUAAUCGAAUAAAAGGGUAGUGGACACACUACAGAAGAAGGUAGAUUAGGAAAAGUCCCGGCUAACUACGUGCCAGCAGCCGCGGUAAGACGUAGGGGGCGAGCGUUGCCCGGAAUCACUGGGUGUAAAGGGGACGUAGGCGGAUGAUCAAGUCAUCUGUGAAAAGAUUGCUCAACGAUUGGCUUGCGGAUGAAACUGGUCAUCUUGGGCGUAGCAGAGGUAGACGGAAUUACCUGAGUAGGGGUGAAAUCCGCAGAUACAGGUAAGAAGGCCGGUGAAGAAGUUGGUCUACUGGGCUACAGCUGACGCUGAGGUCCGAAAGCCAGGGGAGCGAACCGGAUUAGAUACCCGGGUAGUCCUGGCUGUAAACGAUGCUCACUAGGUGUAGGGAGCGAAAGACUCUCUGUGCUGAAGCGAACGCGCUAAGUGAGCCACCUGGGGAGUACGUCCGCAAGGAUGAAACUCAAAGGAAUUGACGGGGGUCCGCACAAGCGGUGGAGCAUGUGGUUUAAUUCGAAGCUA